AGCGGGGUAGAGCAGUAUGGUAGCUUGCAGGGCUCAUAAUCCUGAGGUCGAAGGUUCAAAUCCUUUCCCCGCCA
rnacentral:tRNA from 1 species